UAGGUAAAUGUGGAGUUGGUCUUGAAGAAGGCCAAAACUCAAAGUCUUUAAAAGAAGAACAACUGACUCUUAAGGUGAUAGCUCAAGGAAUUCUUCUACAAAAAUCAGAAAUAAUGGUUUUAGGCAGCCCUUCAGUUUUAGACAAGCACACUUAACUAGGUUUAAUUAUUCAUUCUUUCAUGGUUAUUGUUUUGCUUGUAACUAUUUUGGACACAAGGCAACAAAUUGUAGGGUGUCUUUUAGAUAUAAUUUCAGUUUUGCAAGCAAGAACUCUUUUGCUCUUCUGAGAGAUUAUGAUUAUGUUUGCUAUAAAUGUAAUAACAUUGGACAUAAUGCAAGGUUUUGUAGGAUUGAUCGGGCAUAUUUCUCAAAGAUAGAUAAUAAGAGCAAGGCUAAGGAAACCAAAGUUUGGAGGGAAAAAGAGAAAGAGGCUGAAACAAAAUCUCUGAUUGUGCAAACAACUCUUCUUGCACAGAGUGAAAAAGACAUUUGGUAUGUGGAUAGUAGUUGUUCUAAACACAUGACUGGAGAUGAGAGUAACUUCUUAACUCUCAAGAAAUCAAAUGGUGGUAAGGAUUGUCAAUUGGGCAAACAAAGUCGUCGAAGUUUCAAAUCAAAGGAGUACUCAAGCACAAUGCCUUUAGAACUGAUAUACACUGGUUUAUGUGGUCGUACAAGAAUAGCAAGUAUGCAAGGUGAGAGAUACUUUAUGCUUUUAAUUGAUGAUUUCUCAUGUAUGACUUGGGUGGCCUUUUUGAAGGAAAAAUCUGAAGCAUUGUAGAAGUUAAAAGCUUUUAAAGCUUUGGUUGAAAAUGAGAAGAAUCUGAAAAUUAAGUGUCUACAAUCAGACAAUGGUGGUGAAUUUCCCUCAAAUGAUAUUGUGACUUUUUGUGAAAAAUUUGGUAUCAAAAGACAAUAUUCAGCUGCUAGAACACCUCAACAAAAUGGGGUGGUUGUGAGGAAAAACAUAUCAGUUCAAGAGAUGGCAAGAAGCAUGAUGAAUGAAUCCAAGCUCUUGUUACAUUAGGAGAGAUGGGGACAACUUAGGCAAAUUUGAUCCUAGAGCUGAUGAAGCUUGCAGGGUGAUGAGGCUGAAAAUGUUGAUCAACAAACUUCUACCAAUACACAAGCUGGGACAGCAAGCAACAAUGUUGAUAAUACCCCUGAAAACAAUCAAAAUGAAGGUGCUAGUAUACAUUUCGAGGGUGGAGCAGCAGGCAAUCAGUUUAGUACAUAGAUACAUCAGCUGGUCCUACACUUUCACAUUAUGGAAAUAAGUCUACAAUAAGAACUUUUCUCAAAACUACAUCAAGGUUUGUUGAAAAGAAUCAUCCUAUCAAUCAAAUUAUGCAAGAGGACAGACCUAGAGCAACAAGGAGAAAAGUUAACUAUUAUGAAGAUGAUGAUAUUUCAUUGCUCUCCAUGAUUGAACCUAAAACUUUUGAAGCAGCUGAAGACAAAUCUUGGGUUGCAGCUAUGAAAGAAGAGUUAGAUCAGAUCCAAAAGAGUGAUAUUUGGGAACUUGUCCCAAGGCCUAAGGACAUGAACGUGAUUAGCACAAAGUGGGUCUUUAGGAACAAGUUGAAUGAGGAUGGCCAAGUGGUAAGAAACAAGGCAAGUUUAGUGUGUAAAGGUUAUGCCCAUGUUGAAGGUAUAGAUUUUGAUGAAACCUUUGCACCAAUUGUUAGAUUAGAGGCAAUUAAAAUGUUCUUAUCUUUUGCCUCUUUUAAAGGUUUUAAAUUUUUUCAAAUGGAUGUUAAAUCUGCCUUUUUGAAUGGUGAUUUAAAUGAAGAGGUAUAUGUAGAACAGCUUGAUGGUUUUACUUUGUCAAAGAAUCAAGAUUAUGUGUGCAAGCUGAGAAAGGCACUUUAUGGUCUCAAACAAGCACCCCGUGCUUGGUAUGAUAGAUUGAAUAGUUAUUUGCUUCAGCAAGGGUUUAGAAGAGGCAUUGUGGACAACAACUUGUAUAUCAAAGAGGAAGGUAAACAUAUGUUGAUUGUGGGGUAUAUGUUGAUGAUUUAAUCUUUGGGAGUGAUUAGAUGUGUGAAGUUUUUGCAACUAAUAUGAAGAUGGAGUUUGAAAUGUCAAUGUUGGGAGAGCUGCCAUUCUUCCUUGGGCUGCAAAUUCAUCAAUCUAAGGAAGGUAUAUUUAUUUCCCAGACUAAAUAUAUUAGAAAGAUGUUGACGAGGUUCAAAAUGGAAGAUUGUAGUCCUAUUAGUACUCCUAUGGUGAUUGGUUGCAAACUCAGUAAGGAUGAUGAAUCAUCAGAUGCUAAUCAAACUCUUUACAGGUCUAUGAUAGGUAGUUUGUUGUAUGUUAUAGCUACUAGACCUGAUAUAAUGUAGGCCGUAGGAUAUGUUGCAAAAUAUCAGGCUGUCCCUAAGGAGACACAUGUUCAUGUAGUCAAAAGAAUUUUCAAGUACCUGAAGGGUACUAUGGAGUAUGGCCUUUGGUAUCCUAGUGGAAAUGAUUUAUCACUUAUAGCCUAUACAGAUGUAGAUUGGGGUGGUUCCGUUGAUGAUAGGAAGAGCACAAGUGGAGGUGGUUUCUUCCUUGGGAACCGUUUGGUUUCUUGGCACAGUAAAAAGUAAGCUUUUGUUUCUCUUUCAAUUGCUGAAGCAGAAUAUAUAGCAACAGUGUCCUGUUGCACACAAGUCCUUUGGAUGAAGCAGAAUUUGAAAGAUUUCAAGAUUGAUAUCGGUCAUUGAUGUCAAAGAGGGAGCAGGAUCUUAGGGGGAGAAGCUAUGUUUUCUUGGUUUUAGGAAGUUGCAGUUGGAGAUGAAGUUGCCAUCAAUGACAAAGGGGGAGUUUGUUGCAACUUUUGUCAUUGAUUUCAAAGACUAAAUUGUGUUAUUGUGUUCUUUUAUGUAUUUGUUGAGUGAUCUACAAUGUUUUGAUCAUUGCAUUCUAUUAAUCUCUUGUUGCUUCAAUCAGAUUCUUGUGUAGCUCCAUUAGAGGGUUUUCCAAUGUUCCUUGGCAAAAAGAUAGCCAAUCAUUUCUAGGCUUCAAAAGUUUGUCUUUGUUGCUAUAAUUAAGGUUUGAGAGUUUACUCCAGUGUGCUUCUAGUGUGUUUUUUGGAGUAGGUUAUCUCAUUUUGUGGGGCUCCAUGGUCUCUCUUCUUUCCUUCCUAUGGAGGGAUAAUUCAUUGUAUUGUGAUGAAUGUAAUCAUUGGGGGUAUCAUUGGGUCCAUCUUUCAUCACUUAAUUGUAUCUUUUCUCUCUUUUGGAGACAAAGUUUUGUCCCAAUGGGUUUUCUCCUUUUCUUUGUUUGUGAGAGAUUGCAUUGUAAAUGUGUACAUAGCGUGACCUAGUAGUUGGGACCCAUAAUCAUAAUCAUUUUCAUCUUUUGUUAGAAACCCUGUCCAAAACUAUAAGAUUUCUUACUUUUGCUGGUAAUUAUUUUCUGUUUUGACAGUUUAUGUGGCUUUCUUGUUUCAUUUGAAUGCCAAGGAAUAUAUAGUGCAAAUAAUAAAGAACAGCAACAGAACAACAAAAUACACCAGAUUGCAGAAUUUAAGGAACACUAAAGAGCAAUGCAAAUCUGGCUUUUGUUGCAACAAUUCCAAUUAUAAAGAUUCCAGCUUGUAGAAGAAGGUUUAGUGCUCAGCAUUCCAAAGGCUCAUUGGUUCAGGAUGCCUCCCUUACAUGCUUGGUAUAUCAACCCGAAGGAAACACAUACAGUUGGCCUUAGAUACCUUACUAUUGUAUAAAUGCUCAGAUUGUGCAUCACAAACACCAAUCAAUGGGCAAUAAUGAUAAACAACAAUAUCCAGAUAGGAUGCAUUCAGAAAUCCGUCAAUGUUGAACUUGUGUUAUGAAAUUAGACUCACAAUAUUUGUGUGUUCAGCAUAAAGAAGAUGUCAAAGUUCUGAAACUCCUUGCCACGAUUACUGAACUGGUCUGUAUCCCAUUCCUGAUAUAAAUACAAGCCCACUGAUGCAAAGAGUUCACGCCAAAUAGUCCUCAAACUUGUUGUUUCUAAGUCACAACUUGCAACGGAAAUGAGUCUUCUCAAAAGAGACCCAUGAACAUUAAAGGAAGUUAUUUGGCAACAAGUUCAGGAUAAAUCUUCCCGCAAAGCAAGAAUGAGCAUAUCAUUUGACAUGUCCAGAUUGUUCCGGAAUGCAUUAUCUCCAAACUUAGGGCAUUAAUGAUCUUCAAUAUGCUACUCUAACAACCACUUCACAACAAAGCAAAUGAUGAAUCUGUUAUUGAUUUUCACACAUGAAUGGUUGAACUUGAGCUACGACUUGCCAGAGACUUAAAGAAACCCAGCUGAAAGCUUCAAUAUGCCCAAGACAUAGAGUCACACUUGGCAGGAAGGAAGAUAUGCACAACAAAAGCUCCCAUUUCAUACACCAACAGACAUCCGACCUCACCGUUUAUUCUAUGAACCCCUUUCCAGGGCUGGCGGCUACCAGUUCGUCCUUAUACAACAAUAAAUAUUCAUGCUAGAUGUGUCCAAGUCUUCUCAAGAUACGUCAAGAAAAACCAACGUCUUUCAUACUAUUCCCGAUAGUAAAGUUCAAAGGGGAAUAUUUGCUUCACACAAUAUUAUGACUUUUCAUUUGUUCACGGCCAUAAUGAAAAUUUCAUCAAACAUUUAAAUCAAAUCUCCUUAAUUAAGUUCCACUGAUAAAAUACGAAUAUAUCAACCUCCCUUAUAAGGUCUGAAAUCAUCAAAAGGUGAUGCCCAGUCUUAUAUUCUUUAUUUCUCACGCAAAGCAGAAACAACAAAUUUAGAUAAACAUCUUCCUAAUAUUGAAUUUUGAAAGAAACUCUUCCAAUAAUAAAAAUAGCAUCCAUAGGCAUUGCUUCCAUCUGAUAAAUUCAUUAAUUGAAAGUGAAACAGAACUGCCUGGAAAUUUGUCUUCACUGGAGACUUCACAAAUUUGUCCAUCAUCAUGCCUGAUUGAGAAACCUGAAUGGCUCCUUCAAGAUUACUUAGAGCAUGUCAGUCCCACUGCUGAAAGUGAUGUUCUCAGGGUUUCUGUAUCGAGCCUGUAAAUCUGAGCAACUCCUCAGAGGUAAUAAUGUAAGAAAAUAUAAAUCAUCCCACAUAUUGCAUCAAUCCCAAAAAUCUCCUUGAAUAAUAUUAUUUUUCAGUUUUAAGCAUUUCGCUCAUGGUUAUUGUCAUUAGUUAAGUGACUUAUCAAUUUCCAUUUCCUAAAGUCACUUUAGUAUAUUAAUUAUUUGAUAUAACCUUUUAAUUAAAUUUUAGGUAAUAAUAUUAAAUAAUUAAUUUUAAUUAUUUUUGCUCCAUUUUAGCUUUCAAAAAUAAAGGGGGACAUUACAUGUUUACAUCAUUAGUGGGUCCUAUUCACAUACUUAUGUUUACUUAGGUCCUAGGAAAUCAUUCUAGAAGGUCUUAGUUGUCAUAAAGUCUUAUCUUAUCUUGUGGCAUUUGAUAGUUGGAGUCCUAGGUCAUUUAAUAUUUGACACUUAAGUUGCUUUAUUGUAUAGGAUUAAGACAUGUCACGAUCUUGUCUAAUCCUAUCCCUCAACCUUGCCUUUAUAAGCAACACAUCUCAUUGUCUAUUUCAUAUUCAAUCAAUUUAAGCAUCCAUAAUUAAGUAAGAUAUUCUUGCCAUUUUCUCUCUCGUGGAAGGUUAUUUUUAUCUUGCAGGUGAUCUUGGGGUGUGGGGAGUUCACAAUCCAACUCCUACAUCAAGUGCCUUGGAGAUAUCGCAGAAUUCUCUGUCACUUCCCCACUGACUCUUCUUUAGCACUUGCAAUAAUUAGGAAACAAUGCAAACAAAAAAGAUUUACUGGGUCUGUUUUGAUUAAGAUAUGACUGCCAACGGGUUGUCUGUAAAUGGUAGCAUUAGCUUUGGAUUAAUUAAUCUAAUUUGUGAACUUAAACACCAUACUGGUAUGGAGUUUAGCAAGCCUUACAGUUCUCCGUGUAAUACAUCUGUAAUAAUUCAAAUGUGUACUUAGUUUAAGAAAAAAAAUACCAGUAGGCGAGUAAUCUGAAUUCUAAGAAAAUAAUGCAUGAGCCCUGGAGUGGUCAUUUCAAAUGUUGUGUUAAGUUCAAAUUUAUUUUAACCUUGUCAGUCAUAUCAAUUUUAUUUACGCUGAUUAUUGAAUCAUCUACAUAGUUAGCAUGACAGAGCAUUUUGUCCAUUCUUCACAUACAUGUUUGAAUCAGAAGUACAAAAGUUAAAGCUAUAUGUCAUGAAGAAACUGUGUAUUUGAUCAUACCAAGAUCCCAUAGGAGUUAGCUUCCGAGUCUUGAGAAUAACAAAGUUACUUCAUGGCUCUUCAGAUCCAACUGCUUUCUUCUUUCAUCAGGUAGAUGAUACUGUGCCACAGGACAUCGAUUGAAAAUUGAACAAUAAAUGGCCUUACAAUCAAAGAUCUGAUAGUGAUCAGUAGAUGGCUUCUUGCUGGUCCAAGAUUCAUAUUGACUCAUAUUCUUAAUUGAAUUUGUAGUCAUACUCUUGAUUUUGUAGAUGGCUUCUUGAGAAUAUGAGCAGCACAAAAGGUUUCCUAACCUUAGAAUUUGUUGUCUACCUCUCUUGCUUUAAUCAGACACCGGACCAUUUCUACAAGUGUCAUGUUCUUUUCAGCAACUCCAUUCUUUCACGGAGAUUGAUGUGUUGUCCUUUGUGCAAAAUCCUAUGUGGAUUACAAAAAUUCAUGAUUUACAUAAUCCCUUCCUCCAUUUGUUCUUACAAUUUUAAUAAUCUUACCGCUAUACUUCUUUAGCAUAGUCUUUUACAAACUUAUCUAGCACUGUGAUUUUGUUCUUAAUAAAUGUAAAUUAUCAAUAAAUGUGAGAAUAUAAGUGGCACCUGUAGAGAUGCUUCUGCAUCUCAUGUAGAUCACCAUGAAUAAUCUUUAGCUUAAGCCUUAUCCUGAGCUCUCCCUGCUUUUCAUAUUUGAAAGGCUUCCUUGUGAUGCUUUGCAAGAGUACAUCCUUUAUAAAUUCCAUCUGAGGCAUCAUUGAGGGUAUAACUUGCAUGUAUUUAUUUAAAUACGAAUGCUUAUUGAAUUCAGUUGUCCUAACUUUUCAUGCUAAAAGACAAUUUUCUGUAUCAGUCCUAGUUAAGAUUCAAGAGCUUCUCAAUUUUCACCUCUUUGAUGAAAGUGGUCAAACCUGGAUAGCUUUUUACAAUAAAAUAAUGCAAAACAAAUAUGGUCAAAUCCCAUGAUUAUAAAAAAUUGAAAUAAUUAUAAUGAUCUGAAGCAGUUAACCUUAGAGUACCGUUAUAAACUUUUCAGCUUGAAGUUCAAGUUAAUUUAAUGUAAAGAAAGAAGAUCAACUUUAGGAGUUCGAAUGUAGUGAACAUUGUGCAAAACAUCAUUUCUGAUUUCAACAUCACCUACUCCUCUCAAACUGCUGUACUAAGUGAAAACAUGAAUGUCUUAUCAUAAGGAAAGGAAUUUAUACAUCAAUACGCUUUGUGGGGAGGGAAUUGUGGUCCGAAGUCUCUAACUAGGUGCUCAAAGAUAGUCACACUAUCUCUAUACCAAUAUAUAACUGUGUAUCGCUUCCCAAGCUUUCCAACUCUUCAAAUGAGAAGAAAAUUGGAGCUCAUAUGCAAAAGUUAAGGCCUGCAGAAGAUAUCACUUUAAAACCUUAAAAAUAAAAACACAACAUAUGCUUUCUAAAAUAAUCUGAAAAAAUGUUGUUUGACUUGCUUUCACCAAGUUUCAUUUUGUAAUUUACUGCUGAUAGUGCAAUGCCUACUUUGCUGACUGUGCAACCAUUGUACUAUUGAUUGUACUGCUGCUCACAUGCAGGCUGAACAUUGUGUUGUGUUGACUGUUGACUAUACUCUUGAAUGGGACACUAGGAAGCAUGCAUAUGUAUGAAAACAAAUUGGGUUCAAUCAUGGGGUGCGAUUUGUAGGCCUUUGGUCUGACAAAUUUCUGUUGAACCACAAGGUGCCAUAUUGGUGCUUAUUUAGUCCAUAUAGUCCAAUUAUCAAAGUGGGCUCACAUAACAAAGCACAACUAAGAGGAUUUGACUCCAAGACCUACUGAGACCAAUUGCCUUAUGAUUUGGCUCCAAGACCUACUAAGCCCAACUGCCUUAGACAGGUAGUAUUGCUCUGUUCUCUCAUGGUUCCACUUGCUCUACAAUUGGCUCCUCCCUGCCACCAAAUGUGCUGCUUUAAGGGUUCUUUAUUGAUCUACCACAGAAUAUUUCACCACAAUUGGUACUCUACCAACUCUUGGUAUUGAGUCAGUACACUCUUUUUCUAAUAGGGAUUUAGAAUAUUCCUUGUUCAUUUUUAUUUUGGGAAAAAAUUGGAUAGAACAGUGACGGGAUUUGAGGGCAGAAAGAUGAGAUUGGGAAAAAGGCAAAAUUCAAAGACUUGAAAUUUUUUCAUGAUUUUUCUAAAUAUCCAAUCAGUUUUGCAAUACUUUCCUUCUAACUUCUAGAUCUAGUUUUUUUUAUAAAAUUCCUAAUCUUUGAUUAAUUGCAAAAGAAGAAUAAGUGUAAAAGACCCCAGGUUAUGAAUAUAACUAAAUGCUAUAAGUGAAAGAAAAGAAACAAAAUAAGAGAGGGUAAACCAAAAGUUGCUAAAAUCCCCAAACCAUAAAUUAUAAGUAUUUAUAUCAAUGUGAGGGAAGGAGUGUUUAUAUCAAUUUGAGGAAAGGACCCCCAAACAAAGUGUGGAGCUAGGCAAGAGUAAAGCAUGAGACCAAAAAUGGAAAUCAACAUUGUUACAUAUUUGUAACAAGGGUUAACAAGGAUCAAGGUAGAAGAAGAAAAUCCUUCUUGACCAUCAUGAAAGGGCCAAUGUAAGACUUGAUGAUGGCUAUCACAAAAAUGGCUAGAGAUAAUUGGUUUGUUUGGACAAACCUAGGAGGAAGCAAGGUACAUUUCCCUCAGAACCUUCUCAAAUACUGAAGGAAUACCUUUUGGUAAAGACGAAAUCAGUAAUGUGCCUCUGCCCAGAGGUUUGAGGGCCCUUGCAUUGAAGCAAAUUAGUUAUAUAUCGAUUAGAAUGAAAAUAAGUAGGCUAGGGGGCUGUAGUGGUAUUCAAGGAUGAUAAUUGUUUCCCUAUGCAGAUAGAUAAUAUCCAAAGAAAGAUUAGUGUUUGCAACUGCUGUGAUGAUGUGUUGAAAAGAGGCAAAUGACAUGGUAGACCUAGGGGACCUAGGGGUCCCUUGUAAGAACCUAUGCUUAUCAGAUCAUGGUAGCAGGAGGAGGUGGGUAGGGAACCAUGUGAAUCCCUAUACAAACAGUGAUACCUCUCUUAAACUUCAUACUAGACAUGAAACUUGAAAGUAAAGUGAUCUUGAGUCUCAACCUCUUGGAGGUGAUGUUUUGUCUUAGCACAAUCAUGGUUCAUAACUUCAUAUUGUUCUAAACCUUUUGACAUUUACUUUCACAUAGAAUAAAAUUCUUUUUCUAAUUCUUUCUAGAGCCUCUCUUUGUGAGUAAUUAUUUUUAGGUUUUGUGUUGACAUUUGAUUGUCAUGAUGUUUAAGGUUUAUGGCUGUUUGUUUUGGAAUUGGACAUAGAGAUCUAGUAGAUGGGUAGGAUUGGCAGCUGAAGCUUCUAGUUGCAAGAUAUCGGAAAGAUACAACUAUCUUCUUAGGGAAUAUCUAGUGAAAACUCCAGAGAGGGGGAGGAAACAGUUCUUUGUGUGGUUAUAUGAGAUGCAAAAGAGAGUAUCUUUUCCCUCUUUUUCAAAUUUACCCUCCUUUUACCAUUAUCUUCUGAAUUUUUUUGGAACUUGACUUUUUAAAAUAUGCACAAUUAUUGAUAGCAAAGAAGCAAACAUCUGCAAAAAAUCGCGAUUAUACUCGAUUAAUCGGGAGUCGGGGGAGCUUGCCGAUUUUUUCCCCCCAAAAAUCAGAUUUAAUCGGUCAACCUUGGGUCAAUGAUUUUUCCCAAAAAAUCACCAAAAAAAAAGUGAAAAAAUGCGAUUUAAAUGCCAAAAAAUUGCGGAAGAAAAUGCAGAAAAAACAACAGAACCCUAAAUGGUGCGAAAACGACGGAAAUGAAGAGCAGGAGUUGAGGGCAGACAAAUUUAAUUGGAUUGAUAUGUGGCAGAUGCCUCCAUACCGGCUGCCUCGUUGUUUCGCGGUGUUCAUUCCUAGGUUGAUCAAUUUUGCCUCUAUUCCAUCUGACUCAUCGAAGCAUUUGGAAAGGCUUGUCGUGUUCACUCAUGCCUUGAUCGAGAGCCACGAUAAAAGUUUUUUGUUAUUUUUUAAUUUUUCCUUUUAUUUAACUAUCUUCAGAUAUAUGUUUUUUAAAACAAU